ACGUACACUCCUGCGGGAGGCAGCAGUGGGGAAUAUUGCACAAUGGGCGCAAGCCUGAUGCAGCGACGCCGCGUGGGGGAUGAAGGCCUUCGGGUUGUAAACUCCUUUCGCUAGGGACGAAGCUUUUUUGUGACGGUACCUAGAUAAGAAGCACCGGCUAACUACGUGCCAGCAGCCGCGGUAAUACGUAGGGUGCGAGCGUUGUCCGGAAUUACUGGGCGUAAAGGGCUCGUAGGUGGUUUGUCGCGUCGUCUGUGAAAUUCUGGGGCUUAGCUCCGGGCGUGCAGGCGAUACGGGCAUAACUUGAGUGCUGUAGGGGUAACUGGAAUUCCUGGUGUAGCGGUGAAAUGCGCAGAUAUCAGGAGGAACACCGAUGGCGAAGGCAGGUUACUGGGCAGUUACUGACGCUGAGGAGCGAAAGCAUGGGUAGCGAACAGGAUUAGAAACCCUUGUAGUCCCAUG
rnacentral:rRNA from 1 species